rnacentral:rRNA from 1 species
UACGUAGGGUGCGAGCGUUGUCCGGAAUUAUUGGGCGUAAAGAGCUUGUAGGCGGUUUGUCGCGUCUGCUGUGAAAAUCCGGGGCUCAACCCCGGACUUGCAGUGGGUACGGGCAGGCUAGAGUGUGGUAGGGGAGACUGGAAUUCCUGGUGUAGCGGUGGAAUGCGCAGAUAUCAGGAGGAACACCGAUGGCGAAGGCAGGUCUCUGGGCAUUAACUGACGCUGAGGAGCGAAAGCAUGGGGAGCGAGCAGG